AAUUCCUCUUUAUCCUAGAGGAGAUUGCUGCUAUGGGAGUUCGGCUUAGGCAUGCAAGUCUGACAGCAAUGUCGGCGAACUGCUUAGUAACACGUCGAUAACCUUCCCUCUAUUGGUGGAUAAUCCCGGGAAACUGGGGGUAAUACACCGUAGGAGAUUAUUGCUGGAAUGCUUUUUCUCUGAUAGCUUCGGCGGUGGAGGAUGGGUCGGCGGCGGAUUAGGUAGUUGGCGGUGUAAUGGACCACCAAGCCAAAGAUCCGUAGGGGCCAUGAGAGUGGUUGCCCCAAGAAGGACACUGAGAAACUGGUCCUAGCCCUACGGGGUGCAGCAGCUGCGAAAACUUUCCAAUGCCCGAAAGGGUGAGAAGGGAACUCCUAGUGCUCAGUUCUACUGGGCUUUUGCCAAUAGUAAAAAUUUUGGCGAAUAAGUGGUGGGCAAGACUGGUGCCAGCCGCCGCGGUAACCCCAGCGCCACUAGUGGCAAUCGCGUUUAUUGGGUCUAAAGCGUCCGUAGCCGGCAUUGUAAAUUUCUUGUGAAAUCGUGGGGCUUAACUUCACGACGUGCAGGAAACACUGCAAUGCUUGGGACUGAGAGAGGUGUAAGGUAUUCUCGGGGGACCGGUUAAAUGGGAUAAUCCCGAGAGGACCGCCAAUGGCGAAGGCAUUACACCAGAGCAGAUCCGACGGUGAGGGACGAAAGCUAGGGGAGCAAUCCGGAUUAGAUACCCGAGUAGUCCUAGCUGUAAACGCUGCGAGCUAGAUGUUACGCAUCCUUCGUGGGUGUGUUGUGUCGUAGAGAAGUCGUUAAGCUCGCCACCUGGGUAGUACGGUCGCAAGGCUGAAACUUAAAGGAAUUGGCGGGGAAGCACUACAAGGGGUGCGGCGUGCGGUUUAAUCGAAUUCAACGCCGAGAAUCUCACCAGGGGCGACGGCAGUUUGAAGGACAGUCUAAAGGGCUUUCCUGACGAGCCGAGAGGUGGUGCAUGGCCGUCGUCAGCUCGUGCCGUGAGGUGUCCUGUUAAGUCAGGUAACGAGCGAGACCUGUAUUUAUAGUUGCCAGCAGGCGAGUAAUCGUGCUGGGCACACUAUGAAGACUGCCCUCGAAAGGGGGAGGAAGGUGCAGGCAACGAUAGGUCUGUAUGCCCCGAAUCUCCUGGGCUACACGCGCGCAACAAUGAUAAGCACAAUGGGAUGCAACCCUGAAAGGGGAAGCCAAACCUCGAAAUCUUAUCUUAGUUCAGAUUGAGGAUUGCAACUCAUCCUCAUGACGUCGGAAUCCCUAGUAACCGGAAAUUAUCAUAUUCCGGUGAAUACGUCCCUGCUUCUUGCACACACCGCCCGUCAUCUCAACCGAGCCGGUUUCAUAUGAGUCAGCGCUUUUUGGCUUUGUCAAAUAUGAGAUUGGUGAGGUGGGGCAAGUCGUCACAAGGUAUCCGUAGGGGAACCUGCGGAUGGAUCACCUCCUU
rnacentral:rRNA from 1 species